rnacentral:rRNA from 1 species
GACGAACGCUGGCGGCGUGCUUAACACAUGCAAGUCGAACGCUGAAACAGGAGCUUGCUUCUGCGGAUGAGUGGCGAACGGGUGAGUAACACGUGAGUAACCUGCCCCGAACUCUGGGAUAAGCGCCGGAAAAGGUGUCUAAUACUGGAUAUGAGCAAUGGCCGCAUGGUCCGUUGUUGGAAAGAUUUAUUGGUUCGGGAUGGGCUCGCGGCCUAUCAGCUUGAUGGUGGGGUAAUGGCCCACCAUGGCGACGACGGGUAGCCGGCCUGAGAGGGUGACCGGCCACACUGGGACUGAGACACGGCCCAGACUCCUACGGGAGGCAGCAGUGGGGAAUAUUGCACAAUGGGCGAAAGCCUGAUGCAGCAACGCCGCGUGAGGGAUGACGGCCUUCGGGUUGUAAACCUCUUUUAGUAGGGAAGAAGCGGAAGUGACGGUACCUGCAGAAAAAGCACCGGCUAACUACGUGCCAGCAGCCGCGGUAACAC